UGAGCCAGGCUAAGAUUCGAUAUUGGGAUAAAACUCAAAUAUUAGAAAUCCAAAUCUUUGGUCAAGACAGAAGUGCCUCUCCCGUGCCAAGGUGCUGAAAUGACAAACGGUAUUUGACGUAGGUACAGAAUUGUAGAAGGGCAAACUGACCCUAAACAGAUACAUUCUGUUGUUUAAUGUUUAUUGCAUCCCAAAUGUCAUGCAUAUCCCUGGAUAACGGGUGCUGCUUCCUUAUUGCCCUUGAGGCGUCUUCUAGCCUCUUAUCUCCUUUUGUAAUGUCUUGAGCUCCGGAGCUGAAAGCCUGAGCCUGUGGGAACCAUGCUGUUAUGUCUUUCCUAGAGAUAGAUUAAAGGGUAACUUCUACGUGUGAAAUGUUGUACUCUUCGUAAUAACUUUGUCUUUAUACUGUAUAAAUAUCUGGUUGAAAUCAUCCAUCUUUGUUCAAACUUUUGGGGUCUUCGGACUGUUUGAACCUUUGCGCAAAUAAAAACUCUUUCCUGCACUGAAGAGCUUGUCCUAGUCCGUCAUUUUUCCUACAACAGCUGGCGACGCCGCCGGGACUGGGUACAAGGCGAUAUUUCGCUGAGGACCGUUUUGACCCCUCGGGACCAUCGGGAGGUCGCUCCUGAACAUUCUCCAGGCGCCACAGAGAUACAUCUCUGGGAGACAGCCGCGAUAACCCGGUGGGCCCGACGGUGCUCUGAUCGAGUCCAAGAACCCUGCGGUACAGGAAAGGUGGUCUGAACAAAUUCCUGGCCAGGAAUCUACGGAGUGGGAGCGUUUUAAGUAAGUAUAUUGUAAAAGAAUUGUACCUGCUUCAUUUGAAAGCAGAAGGAGGGAAUUGAUCACUCCCUCGGACUCGGGGUAGGCUACCCUAAUGAAGUCCAUGUCAGGUUGUGUGGGUGGUUAAACCGUCGCAUUUCUCAUUAGUGGCUGUGAGUUUCCGGGGCUAUGAGUCGACGGCAGUGUGGUAGAAGGGAUGGGGUUCAGAGCGUGCCAAAUACUCCGUUGGCAUGCAUGUUAAAAGGUUUUGACAAGUAUUUUAGCAACCCUUCCUAUCUGAAAGGAUCAAAGGAUCAAUUAAAAUUCUUAUGUAAAUAUGUGUGGCCACAAAGGGAGAUGGGCUGACCCCCUCCCCCUCAGGGAUGGUUAAAGGAAGAAACAGUGGAUAAGUUGUGGGGAGUGAUUGUAGUGAAUCAGGAUAAAUAUCCUGAUCAAUUUCAAUAUAUUGAUCAAUGGGUGAGAGCCCUGUUGAAAAAAGCUGAGGAUUUAUUGCAAUGUAGGGCUGAAACAGUCGGGUUAUGUGUAUCUGAGCAGGCAGGAAAAGUAAGGGGGCUGCUGGAGGGAGUGGAGGAGGAAAUCAGAGGCGUAUGAGUGAUCCUGGCGUGAAGUCAAAAGUCAGGGGGAGUCAUUCGCCUAGAGGUAGCAGUCAGAGUGAGGGAGGGGAUGAUGAUGAGGAGGAGGAGGAGGAGGAAGAGGAGGAAGAUUUGGAGGCUGUGGGGGCUGUAGGUGGAGAAGAAAGAGCAGGAGGCACGGAUGAAUAAAAAGGCUAGUUUGUUGGUAGGAGAACUGCGAAGUGGGAUGCAAGGGGGUUUUUCUCCCCCCCCUUCCUUUGAAGGGGAGAAAGAGGAAAAGAGAUGCUUUUAAAACUUUUUUUCUCCUUUCUGGUGUUUGUCUUGUUUUUUUAACAAAAUAGGCUGUACACCGCCCUGAGUCUUUUGGGAGAAGGGUGGUAUAGAAAUAAAAUUAUUUGGGAAAAAGGAAUUACUUGGGAAAAGGAAUGCCCAAGACAGAUGGUGAGAAGUUGAGGGAUGAGAAGAGCGGAUUUUGGGUCAGGGAUGCGUGGGCAGUUUGCAGGAAGAAGGGGAGAGUAUUGGAUUGGCAGACAUGGUGUGGUCAGAUUGAAGGGGACCAGGCUUGGGAGAACCCCCGCCUGAGCCGUUGGUUACAAUGAGGAUAGGGGGCCAGCAGACAACAUUUUUAGUGGAUACAGGAGCAGGUAGAUCAGUUGUAAAUAAGCAAAUUGCAGCUCCUGGAUCACGUAAAAUCCAGGUCCAGGGGGUAUCAGGGCAAGCCAUGGGGCGGCAGGUCUUGAAAUCAGAGAUGUGUGAUUUUAAGGAAGCUGAAAUCCAGCAUGAAUUUUUGUACAUUCCUGAGUGCCCUAUUCCAUUGCUAGGCAGGGAUAUGCUGAGCAAAUUAGGGGCAACAAUUUCUUUUGAUGAAGAUAGUCAGAGAAUGACCACAAGGCAUUCUCCGGAGAAGAUUUGGAGGUUGUUUGAUGUGCGCUGAGGAUAACCUGCCGGGUUUUGCAGCUCGCCACCCUCCAGUGGGGGUGGAACUAAAACCUGGAGUGGAGUCUGUUACCUUGAUGUAUAUCUGCUGAUGUAACCCGCUGUAAGCUAAAAAGAGGAUGGAGCACCUGCUCUCUUGGAUUGGUCCGGAACUUGGAUCCUGACAAGAGAUUGGAGAUCAUUGCGGAUCCAUGUGGGAGGCAAAUUGGGUGUGGGCACUUUGAGUAAUUGGGGUAGUAGCUUUAUUGAUUAUUGUGUUUUACAGAUAUAAGCAAUGGUUUUGUGGACAACCAGGGCCCAUUUGAUUUCUCAGUCGUUCCGAUUCCUAAUAUUUCCCCAACCGGCUGCGGUGUGUGACCCUCUUACAGAUGAAAGAAGUCCCUGCUUAGGACACCCUGGAAGCUGCCUUUUGAUGCAAAAGAACGGAAAAGAGAAUUUUCUUUAAAUGUGUUGGUUUUGUAAUUGUGGGUGUGAGUGUUGUUGUUGCACUCACUGUAUUGAUUGUGUUUUAUGUAUAAGCUGUAAGGUAGAGUGGGACGUGAAAAUUAUAGAGGAGGUGCUAGUAUAUUAUUUGGUAAUAAAUCCUGAACCCUUGUAAUAUUAUCUGAAAUGGAAAAGCUGCAUAUACCUGAAAUUCCUAGUCAUGUAACAAAUACCUUUGUCAAAUUAGCUGAAGACAUAGCCCACACUCUGAAUGUAUCGAAUUGUUUUGUUGGUGGAGGAACUAACAUGGGAGAAAAAUGGCCGUGGGAAGCUCAAGGAAUUAAAUUAUUCCAAAAUAUUAGAAAUGGAUCAGAAAGGUAAUCUGUCAUAUAAUAAGGGUAAGGAUGGAGACUGGACCUUGACUACUAGUCUGGUAGGGAAUGUUUGUUUUUGGAGAAAAAUUGUGCCAGGCUGUCAUCAGGUGGGAAACCUCAUAUGUACAGGAAAAUGGGAAAGUAAGGUAUGGUGGUCAGGAGCUAAUGCCACAGAGGGAACUGAUGAAAGGGCCCUGUUUAAAGUAAACGGGUUAUCCUUUUUAAAGGAUCCAGAUAAUCAGACCCUUGAAUGGCUGGCUCCUGAUGGACUAUACUGGAUAUGUGGUAAGAUGGCAUAUGGGGUUCUACCAAAAUCUUGGUGUGGAGCUUGGGUCCUGGGAAUAAUUGGACCAGGAUUUUUUUUUUUUUUGCUUCCCCUUAAAACCCGACAGGUGUUAGGUGUCCCGGUAUAUGAUGAGGUGGGAAAUUUAAGACAGAGAAGACAUGUAGAUACAUCAGCAAUAAGGAAAGUUAGGGUUGGAGGUAACCAACGUAGUUGGGGAAGUGAAGAAUGGCCUGCAGAACGAAUUAUUGAGGUUUAUGGACCGGCUACAUGGGCGGAAGAUGGCAUGUAUGGCUAUUGGACCCCUAUAUACAUUCUGAACCGUUUAAUUCGUCUGCAAGUUGUGGUUGAAAUCAUCACCAACGAAACUGUAAAAGGUCUUACUCAAUUAGCUAGGGAAGGUGUCAAAUCAAGGACAUAUAUUAUGCAGAAUAGGUUAGCUUUAGAUUAUUUGUUAGCCAAGGAAGGAGGGGUAUGUGGACUAAUUGCUGUAUAGAAGUUGAUGAAAGCGGAAAGGUUAUUAAGGAAAUAACAGACAAAAUGGUUAAAAUAGCUCAUGUGUCAGUCCAGACUUGGAAAGGCCUUAAUUUACAGGAUAUGUUUUCAGGAUGGUGGCCAAAGUUACCUGGCCUGCAGGCCAUCUUUGGCCUGGUAGGAUUAAUAGCUGCAAGGGUGUCUUUUUCUCCCGUGUAUUUUACCUCUGUUUGUUAAACUCUCUCUAAAAGUCUAUCCUUGCUGGUGGAACGUAAGACAACUGCUCAGGUGAUGGCUACGUGGGAUUACAAACGGCUCCAGCAGGAAGAGGACCUAUGGUGUGACUCGUCUGGAUAAACAGAUGAGUCACAAAGGGGGGUAUGAGCCAGGCUAAGAUUCGAUAUUGGGAUAAAACUCAAAUAUUAGAAAUCCAAAUCUUUGGUCAAGACAGAAGUGCCUCUCCCGUGCCAAGGUGCUGAAAUGACAAACGGUAUUUGACGUAGGUACAGAAUUGUAGAAGGGCAAACUGACCCUAAACAGAUACAUUCUGUUGUUUAAUGUUUAUUGCAUCCCAAAUGUCAUGCAUAUCCCUGGAUAACGGGUGCUGCUUCCUUAUUGCCCUUGAGGCGUCUUCUAGCCUCUUAUCUCCUUUUGUAAUGUCUUGAGCUCCGGAGCUGAAAGCCUGAGCCUGUGGGAACCAUGCUGUUAUGUCUUUCCUAGAGAUAGAUUAAAGGGUAACUUCUACGUGUGAAAUGUUGUACUCUUCGUAAUAACUUUGUCUUUAUACUGUAUAAAUAUCUGGUUGAAAUCAUCCAUCUUUGUUCAAACUUUUGGGGUCUUCGGACUGUUUGAACCUUUGCGCAAAUAAAAACUCUUUCCUGCACUGAA